CAGACAGACGCCUGGACUCCCAUCAGCCCCGGAGACAGACACACCCGUGGACAUGCAGGCGUCCCUCUGACCCGUCCCUCUGACCCCGUCCCUCGACGGCAGGCCGGUCUCCAGACCAUGUGCACCACCAUCAUGGUCCUCUCCACCCUGGCCUUCGUCCUGCGUCGCCGCUUCUUCAGCGGCGCCAAAACCUCUCCAAAGGACCUGACAGAAGAAGAAGACGGCGCCUCCAGCCCCGAGUCCUGACCCUGACCAGGGAAACUCCCCGGGACACCAGAAUGCUCCUCCUCGUCACACAGACUCCAGCUCCUCUCAAUCUCCAUCAGACCUCCGUCCUCAGCUACGCCUGAGGUAGAAACGCCGCCCUGCUCCCGACGGCGUCGCCGCUCCGCCGCUGCAGAACUUUAGUGUUGCUGUUUGUCCUGAUGUUGCUGCCAGAGCAGAAAUAAACAGUCUGAAUAAACACUGACGGCCUGCAGCGUCUUCAUUUGGAGGGAACCCACGCCCACGCCGCCGCCGCACAAACACGCCGCCGGCCGGGUUUCAGGACGAGCUGAUAGUGGAGACUUUUCUCCUUUUGUUUACCAGCUGGAAAUAUGUUUCCUGGCUGAUUAAAUAGAAAACUGGCUCCUUG